GUGCUACUGUGGGAAGAGGAAGAAAACAAGAUAUUAAUUUUAUGCCACUUUGUUAGCACAGUGAUUUAACUUCGUGCUAAUCAUUUAACCUUUACUUAUAA